rnacentral:rRNA from 1 species
UACAGAGGGGGCCAGCGUUAUCCGGAAUUAUUGGGCGUAAAGAGCUCGUAGGCGGUUUGUCGCGUCUGCUGUGAAAACCCGGGGCUCAACUCCGGGCUUGCGGGCGAUACGGGCAGGCUAGAGUUCGGUAGGGGAGACUGGAAUUCCUGGUGUAGCGGUGAAAUGCGCAGAUAUCAGGAGGAACACCGGUGGCGAAGGCGGGUCUCUGGGCCGAUACUGACGCUGAGGAGCGAAAGCGUGGGGAGCGAACAGG